rnacentral:lncRNA from 1 species
GACUGCCGGAGCUGCCUGUCUUGGUGUCUCUCCCUCUCUGAGGGAUGCGCUCGGUAGCGACCGGUCAUUUCCAGGGCAGCCGCCUCCACAGUCAUAAAACGGGACCCGCUCCACAGAGCCGACCCUCCUGCAGAGGCGUGAAUCGCACCGUACGUCCAGCAGGGUCUGUCGGAGGGACAGGAAGGGACGAGGGGACCCUGAAUCUUCCGCUUAUUCUCCCGCAAAUCGGCAGACUACUACUGUCAUAUUGUAGCAGAAAGAAGCAAAAGAAAAGGCAUAUAUGCCCACAUAGGCAUCACAACUCUUGGAAUUCAGUCACAGCUUUCCUGCUUUUUAAUUCCUGUAUUGCCUGUAUUACAUCUUGCACAGUAGUAACAUGGGCUACUCCUGGGUUCUCGUCUGAUGCUUUCUUAUGGUCAAUACAAUGAAAGAAAAGGGCUGCUAAGAAGGUAUAAAAUUAAAUCACAGUCAUGAAGUUGGAAAAGAUUACCAGAAAUCACAAAAUAUGACAAAAAAUAACGGAUGACUUUGGAGUAUAAAUUGAUAUGUGAGCACUUACACAAACGCAAGCAGCAUUAAGAGUUUUCAGAUUUACAUUCUUAUCCCCUAAGCCUUUUGGAAUAGGGCUUUGCAGAGGAUACUUCCUGCAUGCCACAGCUUUGUAAACUGAUUGGUUUCAUUGUCAUUCAUCAACCACAGUUUGUUCAAACCAGAUAUCUCCAUAGCAAGUUUGUGAAGCCUUCUGCAGAGGAUGAAUUUCACCUCCAUUGCACCUGCUGCUAUGGCUCCGAAGAAGCAAUUUUCUCUGGGGAAAGACUGUGACUGUUGAUGAUAGCAUUGAUACUGCAUCUAUUCUCUACAUCUAUUUCCCAAAUCUGUCACAUCAAGCUCUGAGAUGAUGAGGAUAAUUAAAGUCCAGCUGAAUAACCUUCUAGGGCCCACUGAGAAAGAAUGAAUAUUUCAGUGCUCAAAACCCUAUUGCUACCCUCACAGAUUACUCAUCUUUCACUUCCCAGAAAAAUAAUACAACUGUCCCCUUUGCUGUCUCCUGUACAUAUCAUCCUGCAGAAUAAACUGGUUCAAAAUCUUUAUUUUUGCAGAAGUCACUGUUUGCCACUGGUUAUUGCACUGGCAGAGCUACAUGUAAUUAUUCCCUAUAUUACUUUCAAAGCAUCAGAAACUAAACGAGGGAUUCUUUUCCAAUCAGGUCAAAUCAAGAGCUAAA